UACAGAGGGUGCGAGCGUUAAUCGGAAUUACUGGGCGUAAAGGGUGCGUAGGUGGCUAAAUAAGUUAGGUGUGAAAUUCCCGGGCUUAACCUGGGGACUGCGCCUAAUACUGUUUAGCUAGAGUAUUGUAGAGGAAAGUGGAAUUUCCGGUGUAGCGGUGAAAUGCGUAGAUAUCGGAAGGAACAUCAGUGGCGAAGGCGACUUUCUGGACAAAUACUGACACUGAGGCACGAAAGCAUGGGGAGCAAACAGG
rnacentral:rRNA from 1 species